rnacentral:rRNA from 1 species
CCUCCUUUGGUCCUCCUUUCUUCCUCUUUUUCCCUUUUCUCUCGCCUGCCCCCGCCACGUCGCGUGAGGGAGUACUGCCCUAUGGGUUGUAAACCUCUUUUGUCGGGGAGCAAAAGCCGGACGUGUCCGGCUGUGAGAGUACCCGAAGAAAAAGCAUCGGCUAACUCCGUGCCAGCAGCCGCGGUAAUACGGAGGAUGCGAGCGUUAUCCGGAUUUAUUGGGUUUAAAGGGUGCGCAGGCGGAUUUUUAAGUCAGCGGUCAAAUCGUGGGGCUCAACCCCAUCCAGCCGUUGAAACUGGGGAUCUAGAGUGUGCGAGAGGUAUGCGGAAUGCGUGGUGUAGCGGUGAAAUGCAUAGAUAUCACGCAGAACCCCGAUUGCGAAGGCAGCAUACCGGUGCACAACUGACGCUCAGGCACGAAAGCGUGGGUAUCGAACAGGAUUAGAUACCCUAGUAGUC